rnacentral:lncRNA from 1 species
GGUGCUGCUGGCAAACCAGCCCGCAGGUCGGGUUUGUGCUUUGCGGUGAUGAAAGCCAGGUGUGGGAUCUGGAUUGCAGCUGCUCUGACUCUGAAUUUACUCCCCUCGCUAGGAGAUCCGGAAGUUGGCACUCAGCCU